CAGUAGCCACGGUAAUACGUAGGGUGCAAGCGUUAAUCGGAAUUACUGGGCGUAAAGCGUGCGCAGGCGGUUAUAUAAGACAGAUGUGAAAUCCCCGGGCUCAACCUGGGAACUGCAUUUGUGACUGUAUAGCUAGAGUACGGCAGAGGGGGAUGGAAUUCCGCGUGUAGCAGUGAAAUGCGUAGAUAUGCGGAGGAACACCGAUGGCGAAGGCAAUCCCCUGGGCCUGUACUGACGCUCAUGCACAAAAGCGUGGGGAGCAAACAGGAUUAGAUACCCGCGUAGUCCCUGUCUCUUAUAC
rnacentral:rRNA from 1 species